CGCCGAAGGUGGGGCUGAUGACUGGGGUGAAGUCGUAACAAGGUAGCCGUACCGGAAGGUGCGGCUGGAUCACCUCCUAACAGGGAGACAAUAAAUUGAUUGUGAUGUCUAAGUUUUUUAUUCUUAGGCCGCAAUCCUGUCACCUUAAGGUCGAUCGGUACCUCAGAUUUUUGAAUUAGUUUUAUAAUUGAUUCUUUGAUUUCAGUUCCUAAACUUGUCUAGGUCACACCCAACAAAGGUUUCUCCUGGGCCAUUAGCUCAGGUGGUUAGAGCGCACCCCUGAUAAGGGUGAGGUCCCUGGUUCAAGUCCAGGAUGGCCCAUUCGUUGUUGGGGGUAUAGCUCAGUUGGUAGAGCGCCUGCUUUGCAAGCAGGAUGUCAGCGGUUCGAGUCCGCUUACCUCCACUGAAAACUAUCCUGAUAACUAAAUUUCUGGAGAAAAAAAUUGUAGAUGUGGCUUAGAAUUGUCUAUUUGAAAAGAACCUAGCUUCUUGUCAUCUUUUUAUAGUUGAUAAAAUGCUGGGCUCGCAUGGAUUAUUUCCAUGAGAAUUCAGUAGAACCUUGAAAACUGCAUAGAUUAGAAAGAAUAAAGCAUCUCAUGGAUGCAUAGUUCUGUUUUUAUAAUUUAGCCUUAAAACUAAAUUAUUUAAUUCUAGAAUUCAUGUUUAAUUCUUGAGUAAUAGCCGAGCACAAUUGAUUUUGUGAUUGUAUUUAAGGUCAAGCUACAAAGGGCUCA
rnacentral:misc_RNA from 1 species